rnacentral:tRNA from 2 species
GCGUGCACUUGUAUGGUCUGGAGAAGCUUACUUUCGAAUGGUAAAAUUUCUCUUUGCCAAGGAGAAGACGCGGGUUCGAUUCCCGCUAUCCGCCCC